AUGAACGCUAGCUACAGGCUUAACACAUGCAAGUCGAGGGGCAGCAUGGUCUUAGCUUGCUAAGGCCGAUGGCGACCGGCGCACGGGUGAGUAACACGUAUCCAACCUGCCGUCUACUCUUGGACAGCCUUCUGAAAGGAAGAUUAAUACAAGAUGGCAUCAUGAGUCCGCAUGUUCACAUGAUUAAAGGUAUUCCGGUAGACGAUGGGGAUGCGUUCCAUUAGAUAGUAGGCGGGGUAACGGCUCACCUAGUCUUCGAUGGAUAGGGGUUCUGAGAGGAAGGUCCCCCACAUUGGAACUGAGACACGGUCCAAACUCCUACGGGAGGCAGCAGUGAGGAAUAUUGGUCAAUGGGCGCAGGCCUGAACCAGCCAAGUAGCGUGAAGGAUGACUGCCCUAUGGGUUGUAAACUUCUUUUAUAAAGGAAUAAAGUCGGGUAUGUAUACCUGUUUGCAUGUACUUUAUGAAUAAGGAUCGGCUAACUCCGUGCCAGCAGCCGCGGUAAUACGGAGGAUCCGAGCGUUAUCCGGAUUUAUUGGGUUUAAAGGGAGCGUAGAUGGAUGUUUAAGUCAGUUGUGAAAGUUUGCGGCUCAACCGUAAAAUUGCAGUUGAUACUGGAUAUCUUGAGUGCAGUUGAGGCAGGCGGAAUUCGUGGUGUAGCGGUGAAAUGCUUAGAUAUCACGAAGAACUCCGAUUGCGAAGGCAGCCUGCUAAGCUGCAACUGACAUUGAGGCUCGAAAGUGUGGGUAUCAAACAGGAUUAGAUACCCUGGUAGUCCACACGGUAAACGAUGAAUACUCGCUGUUUGCGAUAUACAGCAAGCGGCCAAGCGAAAGCGUUAAGUAUUCCACCUGGGGAGUACGCCGGCAACGGUGAAACUCAAAGGAAUUGACGGGGGCCCGCACAAGCGGAGGAACAUGUGGUUUAAUUCGAUGAUACGCGAGGAACCUUACCCGGGCUUAAAUUGCAGAUGAAUUACGGUGAAAGCCGUAAGCCGCAAGGCAUCUGUGAAGGUGCUGCAUGGUUGUCGUCAGCUCGUGCCGUGAGGUGUCGGCUUAAGUGCCAUAACGAGCGCAACCCUUGUUGUCAGUUACUAACAGGUUCCGCUGAGGACUCUGACAAGACUGCCAUCGUAAGAUGUGAGGAAGGUGGGGAUGACGUCAAAUCAGCACGGCCCUUACGUCCGGGGCUACACACGUGUUACAAUGGGGGGUACAGAGGGCCGCUACCACGCGAGUGGAUGCCAAUCCCCAAAACCUCUCUCAGUUCGGACUGGAGUCUGCAACCCGACUCCACGAAGCUGGAUUCGCUAGUAAUCGCGCAUCAGCCACGGCGCGGUGAAUACGUUCCCGGGCCUUGUACACACCGCCCGUCAAGCCAUGGGAGCCGGGGGUGCCUGAAGUGCGUAACCGCGAGGAGCGCCCUAGGGUAAAACUGGUGACUGGGGCU
rnacentral:rRNA from 1 species